UACGAAGGGGGCUAGCGUUGCUCGGAAUUACUGGGCGUAAAGCGCACGUAGGUGGCUUUUUAAGUCAGGGGUGAAAUCCUGGAGCUCAACUCCAGAACUGCCUUUGAUACUGAGGAUCUUGAGUUCGGGAGAGGUGAGUGGAACUGCGAGUGUAGAGGUGAAAUUCGUAGAUAUUCGCAAGAACACCAGUGGCGAAGGCGGCUCACUGGCCCGAUACUGACGCUGAGGCACGAAAGCGUGGGGAGCAAACAGGG
rnacentral:rRNA from 1 species